rnacentral:misc_RNA from 1 species
GAUGAAGAACGCAGCGAAAUGCGAUAAGUAGUGUGAAUUGCAGAAUUCAGUGAAUCAUCGAAUCUUCGAACGCACAUUGCGCCCCUUGGUAUUCCAUGGGGCAUGCCUGUUCGAGCGUCAUUUGUACCUUCAAGCUUUGCUUGGUGUUGGGUGUUUGUCUCGCCUUUGCGUGUAGACUCGCCUUAAAAUAAUUGGCAGCCGGCGUAUUGAUUUCGGAGCGCAGUACAUCUCGCGCUUUGCACUCAUAACGACAGCGUCCAAAAGUACAUUUUACACUCUUGACCUCGGAUCAGGUAGGGAUACCCGCUGAACUUAAGCAUAUCAAUAAGCGGAGGA